GACGAACGCUGGCGGCGUGCUUAACACAUGCAAGUCGAACGGAAAGGCCCUGCUUUUGUGGGGUGCUCGAGUGGCGAACGGGUGAGUAACACGUGAGUAACCUGCCCUUGACUUUGGGAUAACUUCAGGAAACUGGGGCUAAUACCUGAUAGGAGCUCCUGCUGCAUGGUGGGGGUUGGAAAGUUUCGGCGGAUGUGGAUGGACUUGCGGCUUAUCAGCUUGUUGGUGGGGUAGUGGCCUACGAAGGCUUUGAUGGCUAGCCGGCCUGGGAGGGUGACCGGCCACAUUGGGACUGAGAUACGGACCAGACUCCUACGGGAGGCAGCAGUGGAGAAUAUUGCACAGUGGGCGGAAGCCUGAUGCAGCAACGCCGCGUGCGGGAUGACGGCCUUCUGGUUGUAAACCGCUUUCGCCUGUGACGAAGCGUGAGUGACGGUAAUGGGUAAAGAAGCACCGGCUAACUACGUG
rnacentral:rRNA from 1 species